rnacentral:rRNA from 1 species
GAUGAACGCUGGCGGCGUGCCUAAUACAUGCAAGUCGAGCGAACAGACGAGGAGCUUGCUCCUCUGACGUUAGCGGCGGACGGGUGAGUAACACGUGGAUAACCUACCUAUAAGACUGGGAUAACUUCGGGAAACCGGAGCUAAUACCGGAUAAUAUAUUGAACCGCAUGGUUCAAUAGUUAAAGACGGUUUUGCUGUCACUUAUAGCUGGAUCCGCGCCGCAUUAGCUAGUUGGUAAGGUAACGGCUUACCAAGGCAACGAUGCGUAGCCGACCUGAGAGGGUGAUCGGCCACACUGGAACUGAGACACGGUCCAGACUCCUACGGGAGGCAGCAGUAGGGAAUAUUCCGCAAUGGGCGAAAGCCUGACGGAGCAACGCCGCGUGAGUGAUGAAGGUCUUCGGAUUGUAAAACUCUGUUAUUAGGGAAGAACAAAUGUGUAAGUAACCAUGCACGUCUUGACGGUACCUAAUCAGAAAGCCACGGCUAACUACGUG